GCCAGCGUGGCGGAAUGGUAUACGCACAGCGCUUAGAACGCUGCGGUCAGUAGACCUUGAGAGUUCGAAUCUCUCCGCUGGUA
rnacentral:tRNA from 1 species